UUAAAUUUGUUCCUUGAAGUUUCUCUUAAUACCCAUCUCGAUUUAAGUUCUCGUUAUUAGCAUUGACGCUUGAUUCAAGCAAAUAAAUUUAAAAUUUAAAAAAUAAGGAAGACAAUAUGUCUAAAUUAAAUGGCUUAGUAAAAUGGUUUAACUCUGAUAAAGGUUUUGGUUUCAUUACUCCGUCAAAUGGUGGAAAAGACCUUUUCGUUCAUUUCUCUGGCAUUAUGGGAAAUAACUACCGUACUUUAAAUGAAGGUGACAAAGUUGAGUACAAUGUACAAAACUCACAGCGAGGUCCUUCAGCAGUAGAUGUAGCAGUUAUUUAAUUAUAACGAUUACAGUUACUGACCCCCCUUUAAUAGGGGGGUUUUU
rnacentral:sRNA from 1 species